UCACAUAUGAUAAAAUCUUUAUAUAUAAAGAAAUGUUGCUUCUCUCCUGUCAUGCCACCUAGGAUCCAGGUCAAAAAGUCGAAGGUUGUGAGCAUGACACACGUGUCACCGUCGACCAAAACACAUCACUUCAUUUAAUCCGAAAUUGUGACGGGCUUAUCUUUAGAAUUGGUCUGUGCGUUUUGUUUAAUAAGCCCGGUCCGUUAUAAGGCGUAAUAUGAUAUGUUCGAAACGGGGCGUUUCUGAUUUUAUAGUUUCAUCUUUCUCUUCUCCCCGUCUCUAUCUUCUCCCCAGUAGCGAUUCUAGGGUUUCGACUUAGAUUUCUUAAGUAACCGGCGGAAGCUCUGACUAUAAUUCCCCAAUCUCCCAGCGAUGAACAAACCCAACUUCAACCAAUCGAGAAGAAGACUUAUAUAGAAAUCAAAAAGGUGCGAGCGAGGGGCUGUUGCUUGAUGGCGGUAGAUAUCGAGAGAAGCGUAAUAAGGUUGUUGCAGGCAGUCAAAGCAUGAAGGAUUUCUCCAUCCAGGAAUAAGCUCAUCAAGAGAAUAGAGCUCAUCUAUGUACAAGAAAGUGAAGAAAAAGCUAAGAAUAUCAAGAACAUAAUUACCAGACAUGGUUAUGACAACGAUCAUGAUGUGUACCAAGAUGCCGACAAAUAACCAGAACUGCACGGUGAUCUAGGUUUGCUCCCUAAGACGCUAAGCGUUGUGUUUUCUGACAUGGUUUCUCUGUUAAUAUCUGUGUGACACUAAUGUUCCGGGGACGAGAGGAGAUCGUUCCACCAGGGAUAAAAGUUUGUCCGGUUAUGUCUUCAGAUUAUAGCAAACCCGUGAAACUGGGCCAGUAAGAGAACCCUUUUAUGGACAAGAGGCUGCGUCAUAUAUGACAGAUAUUUCAGGGAUGAGAGAAGAAAGCUGAAGACAUCAAGGAUCGUCUCCGUUAUAUUGCAAUUGGCUAGGGAGAGGUUAUGGAGAGACGUCGCUUCUUUAAGCGUUUCACGGAUUGUUCAUGAGAUACGCCUCUUGACGUGGGCUCAUGCCAUAGAAUAGAUUUUUGAGAUCAUAGUCGAAGAGAUUGUCAUCUAAAUACAGCGUCUACAAACGAGUAAGACCGGUGAAACCAAGAAUCACACCAAAAAUCUGAUUCUCAAAGAGCUCGAGAACAGUCCAAUCCGUGAGGGUGUGAAGAUCGGGAGGAGUUCCACGAAUUCCUUCUGUUUUAGGCCGAAUUGGCGUAACCCGGUUGCUUCCAUCGCAUUCAACAGUUUCCCAUUUACAAGGUCAGGAUUAGACCAGUCGAUGUCUUUUGGCAGGUUCAGACUUGAUUUGAGAGUUUGCAUAGUCGGAUUAUCAACACCGUUCUGCUAAAAACGAAACCCAUAAAUGAAAGGAAGAAACAAAAGAUACCCAGAUGAGAUUUUGUAAUUUUCUUGGGGAUUUUUUCGACAAAAGUGAUAGGGGAAUUCGAGCUUGAAGCAGCCGCAAUUUUAUAAGAAAAAAGGUUUUUUACAGGAAACAAUGACGUUAAGAAAAGUGGAAUUGGCCGAAGUGGUGCACGAUAAAGAGAGAAUUGGAUUAGAAAAUAACAUUGUAUGGAGCUGCGAAAAAUAUUUUAGAUCAAUGGUAAACGAAGAUUUUACUCAUACAAUUUUAUAUUAAAAAUUCAUAGGAACUAUGGUUUCUGCCAAUUAAUAAAAAAAAGAAAUUUUAAGAUACAAGUUAUUGCUCUUCUACUUUACAUCUUAAUCUUAAUUUAACGGGUCAUUGCUAUG